rnacentral:rRNA from 1 species
GACAAGCUGAGCGGAGGUGCAUGGCCGUCGCCAGUUCGUGCCGUGAGGUAUCCUGUUAAGUCAGGCAACGAACGAGACCCACACGCUUAGUUGCCAUCAAAAGCUCUUCGGAGUUUGUUGGGAACGCUAAGUGGACUGCCAUCGUACAGAUGGAGGAAGGGGUGGGCCACGGCAGGUCAGUAUGCCCCUAAUCCCCCGGGCCACACGCGGGCUGCAAUGGUAUGGACAAUGGGUUGCAACUCUGAAAAGAGAAGCCAAUCUCGAAACCAUAUCUCAGUUGGGAUUGUCGGCUGUAACCCGCCGACAUGAACGUGGAAUCCCUAGUAAUCGUGUGUCAUCAUCGCACGGUGAAUACGUCUCUGCUCCUUGCACACACCGCCCGUCGCUCCGUCCGAGUGUAAUGUGCUUGAAAAAUGGUCCUUAGGGUUAUUUUGAAAGUGUAUUACGCGAGGAGGGAGAAGUCGUAACAAGGUAGCCUCAUCAGUCAA